rnacentral:rRNA from 1 species
CUUAACUUUGACUCGGCGACCGGCGCACGGGUGAGUAACACGUAUCCAACCUGCCUCAUACUCGGGGAUAGCCUUUCGAAAGAAAGAUUAAUACCCGAUGUUAUAGUCCUACCGCAUGAUGGGAUUAUUAAAGAAUUUCGGUAUGGGAUGGGGAUGCGUUCCAUUAGUUAGUUGGCGGGGUAACGGCCCACCAAGACAACGAUGGAUAGGGGUUCUGAGAGGAAGGUCCCCCACAUUGGAACUGAGACACGGUCCAAACUCCUACGGAAGGCAGCAG